AGAUUUUAUUCAUUUAGUCAUGAGAGAAAGAAGCAGAGGGAGAAGCAGGCUCCCUGCUGUGAUGCGGGACUCCUCCCAGGACUCUGGGAUCACAACCUGAGCUGAAGGCAGAUGCUUAACUGCCUGAGCCACAGGCACCCAGUUUGUUCUAACUUGAUAGUAAACUAGCUCCUCGAGCUGUGACACGGCUUCCAAGACGGUCACUUGGAAGGCAGGACACUUGGAUUCCGUCCUCAUUUCAAGCCCAUCUGUCUUUCAGCAGCUGUGCUUGGGUGGCAUGUAAUGCAACUAACGCAGUUUUCUCUGUGGAGCCAUUAUGGAAAUGCUGCCAGAACCACCAGAAGUGCACAUUACACUAGCUGUGUCCCAUGCACUGAUGCUCUGUCACCGGAGAAUUCAGAGCAGUGUGAGUGUAUGCUGUCAGGUGAAGACAGCUCCCUCACUCCAUAUCCCUGCCCCCGGCCCUAACAAGGAGAUCUAAAAAUAAAGUAGUAGCAAUGCUGUAGAUUGCAGAACGAGGUAUGACAACACAUUCAUUCACUUUGAUAAUGUCAGGCACUGUGGAAAUGGCCAUGACCACGGUCUUUCAGCUCCCGUGGCUGGCAAAGGUGUUCCACUUAAAGGCAUCUGUGGAGCUUCGCGUGGCCCUCUGGCUAUAGGAAACCUUGUGGGAGAAGACAACGUACUUUCUCUUCUUCCAGGAAAAGGCGCCUCUCCAGGUCAUGCUUGGGAAGCUCUGUGGACGAACACCGUUCUUGGCUCGGCCUCUGAGCCUUCUAGGAGCCACCAAUAGGGGUCGCAGGGAGUGUGUCCUGUGAGCAGAUUCUUGCCAAAGAGCCACGCACAGAGUCCAGACCAAAAAACAAGAUGCCCACGCAGCCACACAACUACAGCCAGUAUCUAGAAACUAAUUUAUGGAAAAUGCUUCACCAUCAGAAGUGGACAUGUGGGGGUAUCCCGGGCCAUAGAAACAGGACAAGAGUGGAGAGGGAGUCUUGGGUCUGGGCCCCAAUGCUUCAAGGCCUCCCCUGCAGCGGGGCUCUUCCUUUCCCUGUUGCUGAACUCCACAGCUGACUGCCCUCCUGGUCUCCAGCAGAGGGAACUUCCAGAGACCGUCUGUGUUUAGACAAAGGAACUCACCUGUUGACUGGGUCACACACGAGAUCUUGUAGGACAUCCAGAUGCUCGCCAGGCAGAGGAAGGUGGCCACGAAACCGAAGAUCUGCACAGGAGAGAGAGGAAAGGAGGUUCCCAGGCCAAGGGCCAAUAACUCAGGCAGUCCUUUAGUUCCUGUACCAGCUGUGGCCUGGAGGGAGCCUGGGGGAUGGAGUGACCUGACCACCUCCUCAGGUGCAGGGAUAAGGACCUGUUCCCUCGGUUCCUCCCACAGGGCCUUGGUUCAGGCCUGGCCCUGGGGCUCUGGGCUCCACCUCUUGGCCCUCCUCACUCUGGGGAACUCCAGGGCCCACAUUCGGGUUCAUAUUUACCAACUGACCUGAGGCCAAGGCACUGUGCAAAACAAUUACUGGGGCUAAUGACAGAGGAAAAGGUGGAAUUACGCAUUUUAAUUUGAGUCUUUGAAUUCCUAAUGUUCAGAUGGCUUUUACUGGUAUGACAGCGUUGCGUUUCAUUCAUAAUGGCUUUCUGUUCCACCUCGCUCCACAGCUGUGUAAGAGCUAGAAGCCAAGACCUUGCUGACAGUGUUAUGUUUGCACAUAUUUAAACAAUCUUAGACUAAAAUCAGUUAAGGUAGCUCCUUCCUUUCUGAGGCUCCACCCGGUGCCCACGUGGCUGACCUCGCUGACCUGGGAAAGCUGACCCAGCCCAGUCUAGCUUCGUUUAAAGAUAAGGGGCAGGGCACCCCGAGAAGAAUAGGACCUCAUGUGAGGCUCAUCCGAUGGUUAGAGAGAAGCAGACACACACUCCGGUGUCUGUCUGGAACUUCCAAGCCUGAAGCUUUAGUAGCUAUAACUCAUUGACUACCUUGACGUGCCCGUCCGAGUUCUAAGCCCGUUAGGUGUGCUGAUCCCUUCAAUUCCCAUCACUCUGCUAGGUGGGUGCUGCCGAGCUCCUCCCGUCUCCCUCAUCUGGCAGCUAAGGAAAUGGAGGGACAGUGAGUCAACCAGUUUGCCCAGGGCCACAGGACCAGCGAGGGCUGGGCAUGGGAUCUGGGCCCUGGGCCCUGCUCUAGUUUUGCCCAGGUGUUCCUGGACUCGCACAUGGCCUCAUGUUCGGGACACGGCUACAGGCUGAUGUGCAGGAGGAACAGCCCAGGAGCUGCCAGACAAGGGCAUGAUUUCCAGGGUUUGGUUUGCUGUUCAAGCCCCCGCUGGAUUACAAAAGCCACCUCCCUCUCCCCCAGGUCGCUUUCCUUGGCUCCUUUUGUACCAAUUGUCUGCACCACAUAAUUAGCCUAUUGGAGCCUGUCCCUGCCCCUCAUUGUCUGUUCUGCACAAUUAGCACAUUAUAUACCAUCCCGGUCUCCAACUGUCUGCUCUGCAUAAUUGAACAGUCUAUUAUAUCUACAUAAUGCUCUUCUGGACGAUAAUGCCUCAUUUGCUAAUUGUUUCAUGUGCCUUGGCCUUAACUCCUAAACUAGGCUGCCAUUUCCUCAUAUGCAAGGGCCAUAUCUUUUUAUUUCUUCUGGCUCCCCCUUGGCCGAGGCACCAAGAUGGUGUAUGAUGAGUGGGGCUUAUUUGGAUUCCAGGUGAUGUGCAAUCUGAAUCAUAAAACCCAGUGGGAACCUCCCCAUGUGGUCCUGACACACAAUGGGUGCCAGUUUCCUCAGUGUCUCCACCACCAGCCUGCCUGUAGUUGGGCAGGUAGUAACCUGUAGGUGGCACCUACCCCACUUCUUGGGGACUGCAAGGGGUAGGGAGGUGGCUGCAGGAGGCACUUAAGGCCCAUGAGUGUUCAGAGGCUUGGCCGCCCUUCUGUAGCGAUGUGCUGCCCCAUGCCCACCUUUGGAGGACAGACCCCACCCCUCAAUGGAAUUCCAGGCACUAACCCACUCCCAACCCAAAGUCUGGAGAAUUCUGCUAAUGUAUAAAUGAAAGAGUGACUGUCUCCUAGAGCUUUUCUUAAAACUCAUUAAAAAAAAAAAAAAAAAAUCAAGGGCUGCCUGGGUGGCUCAGGUGGCGCCACCUUCAGUCCAGG